AUGGAAGACGUCGCAUUGUUGUGGCUGUGGUCCUGGCCGUGGAAGACGCCGUGUCGUCGUGGCUGCGGUCUGGGCUGUGGACAUCGCCACCGGCCCUGCACCCCCCACUGCAUGAGGACCAUAUAUUCUCCGUCUCUGUCCCUGCCGCGAUGUCGUCGUGUUGGUCACCAUCGCGCAACCUCUAUACGCUGCCCACCCCACUCUUCGGAUCCAUGGGUUAAGUGUGAGUGUCUCCAAUCUAGCACCGCCCUCCUCCAGCGCCCUAAAGCUCAAAUUCUCCGGCGACGCAUCCGCAGCAGGUACUGUAGGUCGUGGUUCCGCUUCUUUUCUCUUCCGCGGUUCAUUGUACACAAAAAUGUGAUUUUGUACUGCCUCAUUUUUCUGCUCGUCAUGGGAUUGUACCGACGGCUUCAUUUUUCUGCUCGUCAUGGAAUGUGCUUGAAGGAUCUUGAUUAUGCCUCCCUUUUUUUUAAUUUCUGCGGUACUUAUUGCAAGGAAGACGAAUUCCUUAAGAAACUAGAAGACGUUAAGUUAUUGUUUAUGCAUGCUAAUUGUUGUUGA
rnacentral:rRNA from 1 species